GACAGUUACAGCUCUUUGAGAAUUUGUCUAGCAGGCUUUCCAGGUUUUUGUGUUUUUUUUUUUUUUUUUUUUCUAAAUCAGAAAGUCCCC
rnacentral:snRNA from 13 species